CGCGGGCUGACGGUCGGGCCGGCCGGGGGCGGGCCGGGCCGCCGGAGCCGAGCCGCCGGCGUCCAUUUUCUGGGCGGUGCUGAGUGGCGCAGCGGCCGGGCUCGCGGGUCCGGAAGAGCCAUGGCCCCCCGGGCAGCGCGCGCCGGAGCAGGGGAGCCCCGUCUUGAUGAGGAGGAGAUGGAGGACUCAGAACCAAGAAUUUCCAAGUGAUUUCUUCCAAAGCAUAAGAAACUGUUAGUGCUGGUGUGUUCUCACUGAGAGCUAAAUUCUACCCUCAAGAUGCAGUAAAUGGCGCUUCCUCCUGCAAGGCUUUGUCGAGCUUCUCCCUAUGCC
rnacentral:lncRNA from 1 species